rnacentral:rRNA from 1 species
AUACGGAGGAUGCGAGCGUUAUCCGGAUUUAUUAGGUUUAAAGGGAGCGUAGGUGGGAUAUUAAGUCAGCUGUGAAAGUUUGGGGCUCAACCUUAAAAUUGCAGUUGAUACUGGUUUCCUUGAGUACGGUACGGGUGGGCGGAAUUCGUGGUGUAGCGGUGAAAUGCUUAGAUAUCACGAAGAACUCCGAUCGCGAAGGCAGCUCACCGGGCCGGAACUGACACUGAUGCUCGAAAGUGCGGGUAUCAAACAGGAUUAGAUACCCUGGUAGUCCGCACAGUAAACGAUGAAUACUCGCUGUUUGCGAUACACUGUAAGCGGCCAAGCGAAAGCGUUAAGUAUUCCACCUGGGGAGUACGCCGGCAACGGUGAAACUUAAAGGAAUUGACGGGG